UUGUGUUCGUGGUAUCUGUAGUAGGAAAAACGGAAGGAAAAGUUGAAGAGGAGGUCGGAUUCCUGAUUGUUGACAUGAAUUCUACAUUUUCUUCAGAAAUGCGGUGCAUGGCGCGGAGUGUGGUGGCGUGCAACAGUCGUCUUCGAAGCUUCGUCCGUUUGGCACGUGUUUGCAACAGACGUGUUCGUGUACUUGCUUAGGGAUCGGCCGAUAGGAGAAUAUACCGAACAUCGCCGAGCGUUGCCGAAGUGCCGACCGGUCUCCGAGGGGAAGGAAGGUCUCGCCAUUGCUCUCUCGAGCGUCGAACAGGCAAGACGUGUCAGAGCAUCCUUCCGUAUAAGUAGUAGAUAUUUGAUGGAUAUUGAAAGGACGCCAUGACACCUAAUAUGGGAUUGAAAUAGAAUUUCGUAACAAUUUAUUGUUUUAAUUUAUUCUAAUCAAUUGUUAACAUUUAUUAUUACU